rnacentral:rRNA from 1 species
CCAGACUCCUACGGGAGGCAGCAGUGGGGAAUAUUGGGCAAUGGGCGCAAGCCUGACCCAGCAACGCCGCGUGAAGGAAGAAGGCUUUCGGGUUGUAAACUUCUUUUCUCAGGGACGAAGCAAGUGACGGUACCUGAGGAAUAAGCCACGGCUAACUACGUGCCAGCAGCCGCGGUAAUACGUAGGUGGCAAGCGUUAUCCGGAUUUACUGGGUGUAAAGGGCGUGUAGGCGGGAAAGCAAGUCAGAUGUGAAAACCAUGGGCUCAACCUGUGGCCUGCAUUUGAAACUGUGCGGCUUGAGUGCGGGAGGGGCAGGCGGAAUUCCGAGUGUAGCGGUGAAAUGCGUAGAUAUUAGGAGGAACACCGGCGGCGAAGGCGGCCUGCUGGACCGUAACUGACGUUGAGGCUCGAAAGCGUGGGGAGCAAACAGGAUUAGAUACCCCCGUACA